rnacentral:rRNA from 1 species
AUGGGCGAAAGCCUGAUGCAGCGACGCCGCGUGCGGGACGAAGGCCUUCGGGUCGUAAACCGCUUUCAGCAGGGACGAGGCCGCAAGGUGACGGUACCUGCAGAAGAAGCCCCGGCUAACUACGUGCCAGCAGCCGCGGUAAUACGUAGGGGGCGAGCGUUAUCCGGAUUCAUUGGGCGUAAAGCGCGCGUAGGCGGCCUGCUAGGUCGGGAGUCAAAUCCGGGGGCUCAACCCCCGUCCGCUCCCGAUACCGGCUGGCUUGAGUCUGGUAGGGGAAGGUGGAAUUCCCAGUGUAGCGGUGGAAUGCGCAGAUAUUGGGAAGAACACCGGUGGCGAAGGCGGCCUUCUGGGCCACGACUGACGCUGAGGCGCGAAAGCUAGGGGAGCGAACAGGAUUAGAUACCCUGGUAGUCCUAGCCGUAAACGAUGGACACUAGGUGUGGGCGGAUUGUCCGUCCGUGCCGCAAGCCAACGCAUUAAGUGUCCCGCCUGGGGAGUACGGCCGCAAGGCUAAAACUCAAAGGAAUUGACGGGGGCCCGCACAAGCAGCGGAGCAUGUGGCUUAAUUCGAAGCAACGCGAAAGAACCUUACCAGG